rnacentral:rRNA from 1 species
GCCAGCGCUCAUAGCACGUUGAAUACGACAGUUCCUAACGGUUCACUGAACUUAAACAACGUUGUGCGUGGUUAGUAUUCGAAUGGGUGACCGUCUGGCCAUUCGCGUGCUGCUGGCU